rnacentral:piRNA from 2 species
UAGGAUGGCUCAAUCACAUGGCAUGC